rnacentral:sRNA from 1 species
GCCGAGUCCCCGGCAGGAGGGUCCCCGGGGAGGGCCAGGGAGAGCGCGCGGCGGACGCGCCCGGGACGCGCGGCGGCACCGGGAGGCCGGGCCGAGCGGUUUUGAGAGAUUACCUGAAGUUGCACUCAAAAGCAAGAUAUACUACUAACUUUGAAAUGGAAUAAGGCCCUCCCUAUCCUGAAGACAUUAGCUGAGAGUCUGGCACCUUUUAAAAGUCUGAUCAUCAAUUGUCUCUCUGGGCGGCCACCUAUGAGACUUCAUCUGUGUGGUUAUACCUUAUUGGUGUGGAUGUUGUCUAAAUUUCGGUAGCCAUGGCACAAGAAUAUAAGAAAGCAUGGGAUUAUGGCAACCACAGAAUCUCAGUAGUACAAGUUCCAUU